UCCUUGACAGACAUGUUGCUAAAGUCACACAUGGAGUCAGGCGGACAAGGAAAAGAAUGUGAGCCAUGUGGGACCAGAGGGCUGCCUCUGCUCUUCAGCUGCUCUGAGCUCUGAGGUUUUAGAACUGAAUGCUUGUCUGCACUAUUUGGAGCAGCAUCCUCUUCCCUACACACAACUGAGAGUCCUCAAGUGCCUUGACUUGUGCUGUCCCCAGGGACAGAAAGAUUCCCAGGUAGCUGUGAGACUCCCCACAGGCUCUGAGCCGCAUCAGGGCUCCAUUUGAGGCAGUGUUGCCCCCCUCCCUUCAGAAGCCUGAGAGCCUCCUCCACUCUGACCUCAAUGAGAUAGUGAGGGCGGGGGGGUUGGUGUAACUGGGGCAAGGCCAGCAUGAAAUCAGAAACUGAGUUCGGGACAGAGCUGUCUCAGGUGAGUGAGGGACUCCGAGGAUCAGGACCUAAGUUGAGGCCAAUGCCCGGGUGCAUGACCAGGGAAGUCCAGCUGCUGGAAUUGAAAGACAACGCAAGGCUGAAGGUGAGAAGCCAGGCAGGGACCCCAGGAACAAAUCCCUCACCCUCCGCCUCUUCUGGGAGUGAUCUCAGGGGAGGCGGUGUUCAGGGUCUGGGGCUGAAUCAUGGGGUACUCACCUGAGACCAGGGGUGACGCUGGCAUGGCAGAAGCAAGUUGAGUCAGAAACAUGUGACAGCUGUGGUCUAAAAAGGGAAGCCUAAAGGGUCACCAAAGUGAAGGGGCCAAAGGAGCUAUGGCAGCUGGGAACAGGAGCCAGGAAUCUGAGAACCAGGGAGCUAUUACUACUGAACUAUUUCACAAACCCAUUUUGAAAGUCAAAAACCGAGCACUGAGUCUUUCUCUGUAAUCCAGCUACACCAACCCUAAUCUUCUCUGAGGUGAUGCACAGCUGUCACCGGGGAGAAAUGGAAUGCCAGGAAAUGCACAAAGGAAAAGCAUCCUGACAAAUGUUUUCAGCCUUAUGCGCCACACCACUAAAGAACAUUGCCACCUGCUGUAGGAUAUGAAGCUUCUGAAGCACAUGAGAAGUAAGAGGAAACAACGGUCAUGCCCCCAAAGGUCUUGCUCCACAGAACUGGAGGGACACGUUCUGAAGAAUCCCGGAUUGCAUUCCAGAUGCACCCCAUGGAAACAUGGGACUUUGGUCCUUUUUCAACACCAGGUCACAAGGAGAAAGCUCAUUUUGCAGCUACUCACAGUUACUAGCAGGGCCAUCAUCCUUAACAUUUUUCUGUUGACUCAGAUCUCAGUGAUUUGUAGAAGGAUAAAUUAUCUAAGUAUGAAUUUCCUCUUAAUUCUGAAUAGAAUCUUAUAAUAGGCUCUAUCCUGUUACGACGUUCCCAGUAGUCUUAUGAAUUCAGUAGGGAAUAAACCAGCUGUUUCCAUUUCAUGGGGAGGGCGGGGGGAACAAUCUUGCACUUUUUCUUUUUUUCAACCAAUGUUUAUUGAACCCUUAUUGUGAACCAGGAGCUGUAUUAGGCUUUGAGAAUACACAGUUAGCCUGGACCUACAUGAUGCUUAUACUAGGGAAGAAGACACAUAAACAGAUACUUUUAUUAUAAAAUGGUAGAAAUAAUUACUAGGUGUCAAAGGUUCAAAGUUGAAGGGUAUAACUCAGCCUUCCUGGAGGAGCUGAGACUUGAGCUAAGACUUGAAGGAUGGGCCAGAUGCCAAGUGGGGAGAAGAGCUCUGUUGGUCUGUUCAUUGUGGUAUCCCUACCACCCCACCACAUGGUCUAGUACAUGGAAGACAUUUAAUACAGUGAAUUUGCAAAAGAAAUCUCAGCAGAGGAAAUGUUAUAAGCACAAACAAGGCACGGGAAACUAGAAAUGGUUUGGAUUUACCAGAAGAUUAAUCCUUAUAGGAUCAUAGAUUUCUCUGAAAAACUAAUAGAAGCUAUGGUCCUUCUUCCUACCAAAAUUAACAUACACUCAACAUUUAACAGGUAAUUUUAGGGGGAUACAGAUAUGCCUGAAACUUGUACACACUUAGAAAUCUCUGUUAUAGGGAAUUGGGAGCAUUGAGGUUUUUAAAAACAUCUUUAUUUUAUUUAUUAUAAAGUAGGGGAAUGACAUAACUUAGAGUUACUUUGGAUGCAUAGUGAAGGAUGGGCUUAAGGAAGAUAAGAUUAGAUGUGGCAGUUCACUUAAGAGCUUGCUGAAAUAAUUCUGGGUGAGUUAGCCAGAACUAGGAGUGAAGACACGGGCAUGGAGAAGAGUAGUGGGGUGAAGAAUACUUUAAGCGGUAAAACUGGCCUUGCUGGUGUUUGGUUGGAUUUGAGAGCAAGGAAUGGGAAGGAGCUAAGGUUGACUUUCAGGUUUUUUGAAGGACAGGGCAGAUGGUGGUGCUAGUAAUUGAGAUAGGAAAUGCAGGAAAAGAGGUUUGGGUCGGGAAUGGGCUGAUGGAGAGUCUGGGGACGGGAGAAAUGAGGAGUUUGGGUUUGGCCAUGUUGAGAUCACUUGAGGCGGCCAGGUAGUGAUAGAUACGAGCGAAGUGGAAGGAUAAUGGGGAGAUGCUGUAAACUUUAAGGAGCAAAGGAUUAAGGGAGAGUGGAGUGGGGGUCCAGCAUAUGUUUUCACUUAAUUGGGCAGUGAGGAGGACUGGUGGCCACUGAGUCUGAGGAAUGUGGGGAGUAAGAUCAUAAGGCAGCUCCUCAAACAAGGGUUGGCGGAGGGCCAGUGUCUUCAGGAGCUAUGUUAAUUUCCCAGGGCUGCCACAACCAAGCACCACAAACUGGGUGACUUAAAACAACUGGAAUUUAUUGUCUCACAGUUCUUGGGGCUAGAAGUCAGAAAUCAGGGUGAAGCAGGAGAAGAAGGUCUGAAGGCAGGGAACCUAAGGCCAUUUCAUGCAGACUUCCUAGAACUAAAUUCAUGCAGACUUCCUAGAACUUUCCAUGCCUAAGUAACAAAAGGACCAGAGGCUAUUCCCUUUGCAAACCCCCACCUUUUCUGUGUGGCAGAUGGGAAAUCGAAAGUACCUCAAUUUGCAUACGAGUGUAACUUUGUUUGCUUUGGAGUGUAACUUUGUAACUUCACUCCAGCCUCUGAUUGGUUGCUGUCCACAACCAAUCAAAAUGAUUGCAGGCCGAGUCUUCGUUUGCAUAGAAGUGCGGCUUUGUAACUUCACUUCAGUCUCUGAUUGUGGGCCACCACUUCAUUUACAUGAGGUGAGCACCAAGUGGCCAAUGGGAAACCUCUAGGGGGUAUUUGGAUCAGAGAAGAUUCUGUAUCCGGGCCCAUGAGCCGGCUGGUGCCGCUCCCACGCUGUGGAGUAUACUUUUACUUUCAAUAAAUCCUUGCUUUCAUUCUUUCAUUGCUUCAUUCUUUUCUUGCUUUGCUGUGAGUUUUGUCCGAUUCUUUGUUCAAAAUGCCAAGAACCUGGACAACUUGCAGUCAAGACCCUCUACCGAUAACAAAGGUGCUGGCAGGAUCAUGCUUCCUGUGAAACUUAGCGAAAUCCUUCUGCCUCUUCCUAGCUUCUGGUGGUUUGCUGGCAAUCUUUAGUGUUCUUUGGCUUGUGGAAGCAUCACCUUACUCUCGGCCUGUGUUAUUGCAUGGCGUUCUCCCUGGGUCUGUUUUGUCAUGUGGCCCUCUUAUAAGGACCCCAGUCUUAUUGGAUUACAGACCCAUGCUGCUCCAGUAUCACCUCAUCUUAAUUAAUUACAUCAGCAAUGGCCCUAUUUCCAAAUAAGGUCACAUUCUAAGGUACUGGAGUCAGGACUUCAACAUACGUUUAGCAGGGGAUAAGUUCUACCCAUAGCAGGGAAGUUACUAUUUCUAGUUCAAGGAGAAAACAGAGGGAACAUUCUUCACAGAUUGAGGGGGCAGGGGGAGUUAGGUUCCGAAAGGCUCAAGUGAAAUGGUUGGGGGUACUGGGGGGGAUGGUGGUGGGGGUCCUGAUCAGAGGAGAGGUGAGAGGAAGAGCUAACCGACAUUCUAGGUGAUAAGACUGGUAGAAAUGUGAGUCAUGGGGUGUUAGCACGAGGAACUCACUGCAGCUCUGGUUUGAGGGCAGUCUGGGUGGACUGGCCCUGUGGUGGGGUGAGAACACACUCUGCCUCAGGGGACUCUGGGUAGAGGAGCAUCCCAUGAAGUGCAUCAGACUGCUGUUGCCUGGUCAGCUUCUGCUUACGGAUGUUAGUUUGCUGAAGAAGAAUCACUUACUUCUUGCAGAUUCUUAAAGUUUUCUCCACGGUGGCUGAGAUUUCCUAAAAGCUGCCAGUGUCACUGCUGUUUUUUAAAUUAUUUUCUUCUUGCUGCUUCUAGCAGGCAGUAAGCAAUGAUAGUCUGAGAGGUGCUUCUGUGCUCAUAACUUCUUUAUUUUCUUUGGGAUUUUGAAGUGUUCUUCUAUUCCCAAAGAACUUAAGAAAGCAAAUUCAAUGAAUAAACCUGUUAUUUGAGAAACCCCUCUCUAUCUACUUACUCCUUUUUUAUUGCCCUUAUGAAUUCCAAAACAGCAGAGUGCAAGGUAAAAGGUGUGAAGUCAAAAGACUGUCACUGGAUUGUAAAUACAUUCUGGGUAGGGGCUUUAUAUUGUUAGCCCUUUUAAAAAUUCUACUCUCUAUGAAAAGGGCAAAAAGACCUGAUGCUGAGGCCACUGCUCUGUGUUUCACUUGCUUGCACUCUUUCUUAAAUAAUUUCUUAGUUACAGUCCCAGCCACUUUAUAUCCUAUUUGAUCUUUUUUUUUUUUUUUUUUUUUUGAAGUGGAGUUUCACUUUUGUCACCCAGGCUGGAGUGCAGUGGUGCGAUCUCAGCUCACUGCAACCUCCACCUCCUGGGGUCAAGCAAUUCUCCUGCCUCAGCCUCCCGAGUAGCUGGGAUUACAGGCGCACACCACCACGCCCAGCUAAUUUUUGUAUUUUUGGUAGAGAUGGGGUUUCACCAUGUCGGCCAGGCUGCUCUCAAAAUCCUGACCUCAGGCAAUCCACCCGCCUCGGCCUCCCAAAGUGCUGUGAUUACAGGCGUGAGCCACUGUGCCCGGCCUGUUGGAUCCAUUUUAAUGAAGGAUUAUAUAAAUGUCCUCUGAUAGACAUAGUUUCAUAAAAAGAAGCUCCUAUCCAGGUGUGCAAGCUUAAAUACCAGUACAGGAAGAAUUUGUUAAAUGAUGCUUUGUGGUAGCUAGAGAGACUGUAUCUGUUGAGCUGGGUGGUGAGCGGUAUGGCACAGAUCUGAAGUUAAGGUGGUUUCUUCUUUGUUGGUGUAAAAAUGAUGGUUGGAGCUAUUUUCAAAAAACUCAUAAGAAGGGAUGAUUGUACACAUGUGUGUUGCAGUUCAUCUGUACAAAUACAAAGACCAGGGACUUAGGAAUGUUGACUGCCACUUAGAGCAGUGUUUUGCAAAGUUUAAUAAGCACAUGAAGUGCCUGGGCAUUUUUAAAAAUGCAGAUUCUGAUUCCGCAUAUCUGGGAUGGGUCCUGAGAUUCAGUAGUUCUAACAAGCCCCCAGGUGACGCUGAUGCUGCUGAUCCAGAGACCACACUUAGAGGAGCAAAGACCUGGGGAACCUCUUGAAGAAGCACCAUGAUAGCAUUGCAGUCUGGUCCUCAGCCUAAAUCCUUCAACUGCAACUUUGAAAUCCAGAAACAAUAAAAGCCAAAAGUAUUUUUAUAACUCCUUUUGAGGCAAAACCUGAUAUGAACUCAUGUGAAAAUAUUCAUAAUGCUUAUUUCCUAUUUUGCACAACUAUUCAUGUUUUCAUUGCAAAAAGAUUGGUGUAUAUGAUUAUGGGAAACUGCCCUAGACUCCACUGGGGUGUGAUGUUAUAUGAGGCACAAGACCAUGUUCUAGAGUCCAAAAAAUUUCUGAAUUCAGAAACACCUCUGACUCUCAGAGUUUGUGGACCUGUGAUGGUUUUGGGGAUGCUUACUCUAUCUACAGUCUUCCUUCUUCUGGAAAUUGUUUUCAACUUUAUGAAGCUGGGCCUACUCUGUCCUCCUACUCCCAGCUUCCCCCACCAGCUGCAGAUAAUUUGAUCAGGGCUGGACACUUGACCCAAAUUGGGCCAAUCAGAUUUUCUUUGUGAGACUGUAGAAUUUGAAUUCAUAAAUGUUCAUCUUGGGUGCAGGGACUGAGGUGGGUGAGAAGCAGCUUUCUGAAGCUGCAUACCUGAGAAGCAGAGAAAGUUGAUCUGGAGAGAGAAAGAGAGAGAGGGAGAGAGGUGUAAAGAGAGAAACAGAAAGGAGUGUACGUGCAGCCUGAGAGUGGGAGGGGAGAGCAUCAGCAGGAGUGUGAGAUGCAGACGGUAAUGCUGUAAUAUAAUUAGAAAAUAUAUAUUUGGUCUUUGUCUCUGGUUCCUGGCACAGAGCUUCUAAAACACUUGUAACUUCUUGAGCGUAGGGAGUCAGAGGAGUAUCUUUUGUUAUAAUAUUUGGCUUUUGUCCCCGGUUCCUGGCGCGGAACUUCUAAAAUCCUUGGAAUUUCCUGAACGAUAGGUGUGAGAGAAACCUCUUUUGUCAUUUAUAAUAUGCCUCUUGCAAUCAUACUUGAGUUUAUGUGAAUGGGGUGAUUGUUGGAGGGUGCAGACUGGUUACCAGAGGAACCAGCCACAUGAUUAGAAGAUUGGAACUUCCAGCUCCACCUGCUGACCUGUGGGAAGAGGAGAAGGGCUGGAGAUUGAGUUCAUCGCCAGUGGCCAAUGAUUUAAUCAAUCAUGACUAUGAAAUGGAACCUCCAUAAUGACCCUCAAUGAUGGGGUUGGAGAGCUUCCUGAUUGGUAAACACAUCUAUGCGCCAGGAGGGAGGCACACCCGAACCCCAGUGGUGCAGAAGCUCCUUCACUCUGGACCCUGAUGGCCCUUACUCUGUACCUCUUCACUUGGCUGUUCAUUUGUGUCUUUCAUAAUAAGUCAGGAAGCAUAAGUAAAGUUCUCCCCUGCAUUCUGUGAACCAUUAUAGCAAGUUAUUAAACCUGAGGAGGGGGUUGUGGCCAAGUCUGAACAAAGUGUAAAUAACCUGGGGACCAACUGCUUGCAAUUGGUGUCUGAAAUGAGGGGCAGUCUUGUGGGACUGAGCCUCCAAUCUGUGGGGUCUGCAAUAACUCUGGGUAGUUACUGUCAGAAUUGAAUUCAAUUUUAGGGCACGCAGUUGGUGUCCAUAUAGAAUUGAAAUAUUGCUUGGUGUGGAAAACCCAUACAUUUGGAGUAGAGAAACAGUUUCUCCUAGUACAGACCAAGAGUGAAGGCAGAGGUUUCAAUCCUGAUGGCUUUCUGGUUUCUGGUUUUCAGUCCCAACAGCCCUUUCUUCCCUUGAGUUCUGCGGCAUACAGCUACCAUCUUAUAAUAAAUUUUUACAUUUUUUUAAUGCUAGAUGGAGUGGGUUUCAUUGACCCAAAAGGCCUUAACUAACACACUAACAACUUUUUCUGUUAGUGCAGUAAAUUUUUUUUUUAGACUCUGGAGAAUGGACAUGCAAAUCAAAUUCCCAAGAGAAUGCUGAUUUAUUAAUUUCCAUGCAGAAUAACUGCCAGUGGGACCAGAAUACUCCUGCUCACAGGUCAGCUUGUUCCCUGCUGGUAGGAAAAUCUGCACGGGAAGCCAAGUUAUUAUGAGAAGGCUGCUUGAUGAGUGCAGACAGAACCACAUAAUGAGGGGAUCUGAGCAGACUGCCUCCAAGCUAGCCAGGGUGGCUGGAGGCCCUUUUCCCUACUUUCAGGAUGGAGCGAACCUGCCAAGUGGUGUACACAUGUGCCCAUGCUACAGCAUCCUUGGAAAAUAGGCCAGCUCACUAAAACGAGUUCACCCAUAAGCCAAGUCAGCUAAUGAGCCAUUUACCUAAAAUGAGUAUUUGUUAAAACAUUUCAUGUGUGACUGGAUGGUUUCCAUAGCUUUCUGAGUCUUUUCUGUCUAUGGUGACUGGUGACUGUUUUAUGUUCUGCAGUUCUUAUACCUCUUUUUCCUUUUCUCUUCCCUUCCCUUCCCUCUUUUCUUCCUCUCCUUCUCCCUUUCCUCCCUCCCUUUUUCCUCCUGCUUUCUUUUCUAUUCUUAUUUCAAAGAUAUUUUUGCUUACUUAUCUAAGGUUGCCCAUCUCCCCUACUUCAUGCUGCCAUCACCCCAUCAUCUCCUAGAGCUCAAGACUGGAGAUUGUGUCUUGAGAGCUAGGGCAGCCAUAAAGCCAGAAACAGUGCUGGAUGGAGAAAAUGGGUGGAGCAGAGCUAAAUGUGUAUGUGUUUGUGUGUGUGUGUGUGAUGGGGGGAAGCUGGAAGGGCAAAAGCCAGACACUCCAGACAACUUGAACCACCCAUACCAAAGCAGCAGGGGCAAGACUGUCAACUGGAAAUCAAACCAAGAGUCUAGAAUGGAACAAGAGACUGGAUUGAAGUAAGGAGAUAAUAAUAGUAGUUUUGAAUUUCUAUUGCCCAUUACCUAUCUUAUAACUUUCUAUUUUUCUAAAUUUGCAGUAUGUGCCUUUUGGAAACAUUUGUGUAAUGUCGAAUUUGCCUAAAUCUAGAGUUGCCCAACUCAGGGGGUGUUUUAUUUAUGAUUCGUCAACUUUCUCCUUUUUUCUUUUUAGCUUCUCCUUCCUGCUGCUUAUUGUUUGCAUCUUAGACUUUUGUGCACUAGAUGUCAUCAUUAAGCAAAUUAACCUAAAUUUAAUGUUUGUUGCUCUGUAGUGAGGCAUUUCUGUGUUGACAGUGGAAGUGAAAAAAUGAGGCAUUCAUCAGAAACAUAUUAAGCUCUGUUGCACUUUAUAGCUUGUGACACCUAAAUGACAAAGUGAUACUGGACCACAAAUAUUAACCCAUAUUAUAUUUUAAUGCUCUUUUGAACCAAAUAAAGCCUGUCUUAACCAAAUAAA